UAAAGGUGACCAAUAUCUUCCGCAGUAUUAGAUGACUUUUCGAUACGGUAACAUCGCGAAUGUAGGUUUAUAUAUCUCUUGACAUUCACAACUCGAUGUUAGGCGUAUUAUUCUUAUAAAAUUGUUCAUUGUGAUAAAUUCUGGUGUUUUAAUCAAUAUAUAUAGAUCCAAGUUCCAGUCAAAUUUACAUGAAUAUGGCAUUCCAAAAAUUAUUAUUAAAUGGCGGACUAAUGUUAAUCGUUACCAUAAUUAUCAUUCUUCCUACUGCUAACUGUAUCGAAUAUGACGAUCCUGUUAAUUAUAGCAACUUUCCAGCAAUAGUACCGUUGCAUUAUAAUGUCGAAAUACGAUUUUUAUUCAAAGACAAUAUUUUAUUCGGACAAUGUGGUAUUGUUAUACGCACUAAUCGUGUAUUGAACUUAAUAAAACUGAACACCGUACCCGUUCAUACAAUUGAAGCAGUCUUGACUAAUAGUAAAAAAAUUGUGAUUCCAUCUUCUGUACUCACUAACCAUAACACUAUUAUUUCUAUUCAAUUACAUCGUAACAUAUCGACUGAUACAUACAUAUUAAAUUUUACAUAUAUGCGUGUAAUAUAUGAAGACAGCAAUGUAUACCAAUCUGGACAUCUAGACAAAUUGGGUGAAAUGUUAAACAAAACAGGUAUCGCGGUAAUGAACGCCUCACAACUAUUUCCGCACAUAAACGAGUCAACCACCGAAUCCACAUUUAAAAUUGCCAUCAAACAUGAUGAAGAAUAUACAGUUUUAUCGAACAUGCCUAUACGAACACGAAACAAAGCUACUAAUCGCAUGAUGUGGACUGACUUUGACGAAUCAGUAUCAAUGUCUCUUCAACAAAUAAGGGUUGUGAUAACCACAUUCACUAAUGUUUCUAGUCACCUUGUAAAUGUUACCAUAUGGUGCAGCCAAACUGCUCAACAACUAAUUUAUUAUGCAAGAGAUGUUAUUGAAAAGGUUAUACCUUAUUUUAAACAAAAAUACUUGCAGACGUUAUCAAAAUUGGAUAUUAUUGCAUUCCGGCAUCCUUACGACCAUAACGAUGUGAUAUUGGGACUCGUUUUGCUAAGAGAAGCAGAUAUCAUUUAUAAUGAAACCUUGCAUCCCGUUAUACGCAAGAGAGAAGUUGCACACAUGAUAGCGCGUCAAUUGGCGUUACUUUGGUGUGAAGAUGCGUUACUGUGGUCAAAAAAAAGUUUUGUUACAUUUUUCGGAACGUAUAUCUUGGAUCAGGUGUACAAAGAUGAUCAUAUAAUGGAUUUAAAAGUCGUACAAACACAGCAAGAUUCUUUACGUUACGACACACCUUCUACUAUAUACUCUCCAACAUUGAAUAGCACAACCAUUUCUCAAGUCAAUUCACUAGAAUCUUCGCCAAAUCAUAUGAAAUCAUUCAUAAUAUGGCGCAUGUUGUACCAUAUCAUUCCUGCUGGGUUUUGGAGUGCUAUCCGUACACAUAUAGACAAGUGCCGUAUGUAUUUAAACAUUACAUCAGAUGAUUUAUGGAACACUAUGCAAAUCAUUCACAAUGAAAGUGACCCGAAACAUAUGCUAAGUUUUCAUUUUAAAAAAAUAAUAACCAAUUGGAUAACCAAAAAAUAUUAUUUUAUUCUAAAUGUGAAACAAACUCAUUUUCCUAAGCAGCACUUCGUAGGUUGGGAAAUAAGCUACAUUCAAUCUCGAAAUCUAUCACUUAGGAAUAAGAAAGAAAUUUGGAUACAUGUAACAUAUAUGUUGCAAUCGUCUUUUAGUUUUAACAAGACUGUUCAUUCGUCUUGGAUAACUCCGAAUAUAUCAAAUAUACAAUUUGCAGACAGUAACCAUAAUGCAACCGAUUGGAUUUUAGUCAACAUGCAACAAACUGGAUAUUAUCGUGUCAAGUAUAAUCUCGAAAACUGGAAAAAACAUCUGCGCUACUUAAACUCUGAAAAUUAUUCGGAAAUACAUAUUCUUAGUCGUGCUCAAAUAAUUGAUGACGCGUUUUACUUCUUUUUACAAAAAAAACUCAGUUACAACUUGUUUUGGAAUCUUACGAGGUUCGUAACACGAGACGCGAAUUUUGUCACAUGGUAUCCUAUGAUCAAAGUUUUCGAAUCCUUUGCUUGCACAUAUCCGCUUGAAUAUGGUUCUAAAGUAACGAAAAACAUGAAAAACAGGAUAAAUCAACUUCUUACAAAAAUUAAAUACACUGAAGAACCGAGAGAUCAUAAUCUUACUAUAUAUUUAAGAGAAGAAGCUGUAAAAUGGGCAUGUAUACUUAAUGUUUCUAAGUGCCAAACGGUAGCUGCUUCCAAAUUCAACAAAGAGCUUCAAAAUUCUGCAGAAAACAAUAAUUUGACAGGAAAGAAAUGGAUAUACUGUAAUGGUUUAAGAACUGCAAACUACACUAUUUGGUACACGAUGUGGCAGAAAUGGAAGGCAACGUCUGAUGAAAAUUAUUUAGAAUAUCUAACUUGUACUGAAAAGUCCCGCAGUGUUCCCGAUUUUGUAGUGCAUAGAGUGUUGUUUAGAGUGGCUCAAGUAAAAGUCCAGUGAUGUUAAGUCGGGAGAUGUUGGAUGGAUAUUUCACACUUCCUCUUCAACUUAUCCAUUUUCCGGGAAAAGUGACAUCAAGAAAAUUUCUCUUAUCAGUUUGGUAAUGUGGUUGCACAUACUGCUAAAAUUAACACGCUUUAUUCAAGAGCAGGUCAUUAAGAACUGGUGUAAUGUUGUCUCGCGAAAUUAAAAAUGCCUGUGUUUCCAUUCCGUUAGAAAAAAUACAGUGUGUAUGUCGUUCUGUUACACAUCAACACUGCAUUGAUGCUAAUGAUGACUUUGAACAUUUGUAACCUUAAGGUAAUCAACACAACAAUAAGUUAACGUCUGUCCAUUUUACUUCUUAAAAUAAGAAAUGACAUAAUUGCAACGUUAAUUGUGAUUAUAACACAUAUAGACGCUGUACAUCACAUAGAAG